rnacentral:lncRNA from 1 species
AUGGUGGAGACACAAACCACCGUUUCCAGCAUGUAUACAGGCGUCGCCGGCGUGCAUAGCACUUUGGCCACCCUAAUUUUAUUUUCUUGUGUAUUUUCAUUUAUUUCUUAUGUAUUUUCGUCUUUUAUUAGUUGCUGGCUUGUUUGAUUGUAUUUAGCUAGUGUAGUGACCCAUGAUGUUGUUGGAUCAUGGGUAGUUACAUGAUCUCAUUUGUGGGGAUCAUGGGUAGUUGUAUUGGGGCUAUAUAUGGCACCCCCAUAUCUACUGUUCAGCAGAAUUUUUN